AACAACACCUGUAUUGAUUUCGAUUUUUUUGAUUCCAAGUCAAAGGGGUGCUUGGCUUUAAUUAUACAAGAUAAAAGAUGAAACUAAAUUUUGAUGUUGAUGAAGAAGAAGAAACAAAAUUGACAGGAGGAAGAAGAAGAUAAUUGUGAUGAUGAUGUUGUUGAUGAAGAAGAUGAAAUUGGCGAUGGAGAGAAGUAACGAAGAAAUUGCAGAAGAGAGAGAAAGAAAAAAGAGAAGAAGAAGAAGAAGA
rnacentral:lncRNA from 1 species